CCUGCACUCGCUCCCACUGCCCAUGCAGCCUCAGCUGGGAACCCACCUUCCUCUUCGGAAGCAUUUUCCACAGCAUCUCCUGGAUGGAUUUUUAUCAGGGAAGAUGAACAGUAUUUGAAAGUCCUCUCAAAUAAAGAGAGCAAUGUUUUAAGGUGGAGAAUGAAGGAUACAAUAUACUACCAACUCAAUACGCUCUUACAACUCUUUAGUAGCAGAUUCUCUGGUUCCUUUCCUCUCUUCAUUUAAUUUAAUGUCCAAGUCCCGGAGCUGGCUGAGGAAUCCUGAAUUUGGGCAGAUGUCUCUGUGAGCGCUCACUGUUUUCAGAGCAUCCACAAGUGUCAUGUUUUCAUGGAUCAUUAAAAAGGCAAGCACUAAAGAUGCAGAGCGGCUUACCCCCAUGGCGCAAUGAACAAACACCUUACCUGCAAAAGAAGAGGCGCAGCAAGAGAAUGUUAAGCUGAAGCAGUAAAAGGAAAUCAAGAAAGAGAUAAUACAGGUUCUACAUCAGGAGAUUCAUAAGACCACAGGCUCAUUUUCAAGGAGUGUGGCUGACUUUUGAUUGCUGCAGGUGUUUAAAAGCUGAAGUUGUGGAGGUAGUGCUUAACACUAUGGCUCUUUGUCCUCCUGAUGGAAAAAUCCAGAUGGAAAGAAGUGUGGUUCACAGGGAAAUGAUCAUAUGGUCAUGAAACACAAGGUCCACAAACCAGACAUUUUGCCCUGGGAUAACCACCAAGUCACUGCUACUAGAUCAACUGGUAGAACUGGAAGAACUAGGCUCUGCUCUGGGCUAAUAGAGAAUGAUUGACUAGCGAGACCUUCAGGUCUAACCUGCCUUGGCAUCUUUUCCACGUCUCUUAUCAAUGAGGUGUCCACAAUACCCAUUACUAAAUAGUGAAUUAUGUAACACGGGCACCAAACACCCAGCAUCUGCUCCCCAGGCUGGGAAUACAUGUGUCACUAUGAACCAAGAUUAAUUUCACAGUGGCAGCAAGGAGGGAGAUGACAAGGGGUCAGGAGUGAAGAAGGAAAAGAAAAAUGUUUAAAGCAACUUUCAACUGUUGUGACAAUGAGGAAAACCAACUGAUGAUAUGGAUGCCCAUCACUUGGGCAGGAACACCUUUGCUCCAGGAGAAGAUGCUAACACAGACCCCAAUGCCCUCAUACCUUCCCGUUCAAGAUUCUGAUCAUACCCGGCUUUUUAAGGAGAUACACUCUGAUGAUUACCAGCAGACCAUGUGUGAUUUGGACAUAGUUUUAUCGGUUACUCCUAAUCUUUCAGGAUCCUGCUGUCCUCCCACCUGCCAAUGGAAACAAUGUCUGUAAGUGGAUAAUUACGCUUACCCAAGUGGUUGAGUGAGGUUUAGUUAAUGCUGCUAAAAUAAUUUGUGAUCGCUUAAUGAACAUGCUGCGUAAAGAGCAGCGGCUUACCACCAGGACAAGGACUCACCAUUUGGCCUUGUGAAUGUACUCAGAGGCAGCACAGAAAUGUGCGCCAAGGUGAAAGUCGACCGAGUCCUCUGCAGGUAUUAUUCCAUAACAAUGCAUUUCCUGGCCACGGAGAGUUCGGUCUCCUUUGCUUCCCCAUGCAAAAUGUGCAGCAUUCAGUGCAUGGGUGACACCAAGGCUCCUCAGGUCUUGCUUGUUAUGGGCUAUAGAGCUGCAGAGAGUCACGUACAAAAGCUCAGAACAGAAAGCAACCCAACGUAUUUUGUUGCCUUGUUGUGUAUCCCUGUUUGCAGAGCACAGUGCCCACCACACUUUCAGACUCAUGGUGUAAAAAAAGGGUAUUGUAGUAAAAGAAGGUUGUGAUUUCCGAAUAUAGUCAAAAUAGGUGGGGAAAAUGCAGAAUUCCAAGUCAUUUCACUUCUGCAAAGACAGUUUCCUGCCUACAACUUCCUGUAAAUUUAACAAGUGUUACAGGCUCUAUUUGACUACAAAGCCAUGGGGAAUUACUGGCCCAAACACCUUGCAAAAAUUCACUUCAUGAGGUAGCUCAGGCCCUCCUAUAAUUGGACUUGAAAUAUGUAUGUUGAAAGAACACACUCUGGUUUUAGUAUAGCCUGCAACCAUCUUGCAAUUGUACGAUGUUUCUUUGCUGGAGUGGUACUAGCCUUGUUAAUCUGGGUAAACUCCGCUUGAUAAACCUGCCUGCUUAAAAUCGGCAUGAAGUUUCAUUUCUGCACGGUAUUUUACAUCUUGUGCCCCCAGCUGCUUAUUAUGUAGCACUUUAAAAAAUACUUUACCUUUCAACCCAAAGGGUCUUGGCCUUGGCCUUGCAUAUCAGCAAUGGCUGAUAGCCAGACAAAUGUUUAAUAAUCAGUUUGUUGACCACUUCAAAGUCCUCUGGUAUGAAAGACAUCAUGUAAAGUCAACCAUCCCUACUUUAUUUUACUAGAGAUAUUUAACUCAUUUAAAGAGGCUGACCAUCAAAUUUCUGAUAAAGUCAUAAGGAGAAAUAUUUAUUGUAAAAUACAGCUUUAAUUCUAGAUUGACCUUUAAUUUCCAAGUAGCUCCUCAGAAACUGCACAUAACUGGUUCCCCAGGAACAAGCAGUGACAAUUUAUGGUACUGCUUCAGGUUAUUUUAGCUCUGGCACAAGCUCUGAUGCUGGCACAGAUUUGCUCAGUAACAAAAACAUCCUCUGUUUAUUGACUUUGCUGAGUAUUGGGUUGGGCCCUAAAUGCAAAUCCUCUCUCUAUUCCCAAUUUUCACCUCAGGAAGAUCCCAGGAAGCCUUGUUCUCAGGUGUUGAUCAUAUUUGUCUUAUUGAUGUUGGCAGAACAAAGAAAAUUCCAUCUAUAGCACUUGAUAAACUUCCAGUUUCACUGAUUGCAGUCUGUAACUCUUUGUAUUUAACCUCAAUAUUAGUGACCAGCUGUUGCAUUAGCAACCAAACCUGUUUACAUUUUUAUUCCUGUUAGCUGAAUGUUCUCAAAGUUCAUCUUUUCCUUCCUACAUGUACACACUGUUGUUAAAUAUAUAUUUCCCCCUCCCUUCAUUUUCCUUUCCCCAAGAAACUGAAUGUGAAUGAAAAUAAACAUGCAAGAAUAAUUUGGAGCAUAUAUACCCACAGGCAUUAAAAGGAGGUCUUAAAACUGCACUUAGAAGAAUGUCUAAAAUCAAACAAUCGUGUUAAUGCAAUUUCAGUGAUUUUUUUUAUAGUCUUAAAUCUUUGCUUUUACUACCUGUUGGGCUCACUUCUGCAAAUCCUUAUUUCUCCAAAUGGUUCUAAUAAAAUAAAAAAGGUUAAUUUACAAGUAUAGUUACGAGGUUUAACUGGAAAGGCAAAGGUUGGUUUCCCACUCUCGUCACCGAGGCAGAAGAUCAGUGAAGUUCUGCAUGCUGUGCUGGCUUCUGCCUUUCCCCACCCCAGGGCCAGACCUGCACACGGGUGUUUCUGGGUGCCCACCAGUGGGCAGCCACCCCCUGGGCACAGGGCUCAUCUGCAGGGCGUCACGUUCAUGAUGGGAAAUGCUGUGAGAUUAGGAAGCAGGCUGCAAUUUGUAAUCUGCAUUUGCAAAACCUGGCUUCAUUUCCCCAAAGGCAUCUCGCUCAUUUUUAGGCUUUGCUUUUUCACACCUAAAAGAAUGCCUAGUUUUAGCUGUAAUCAAUAGGCAAUUAGCCAAAGGUUCAUUAGUUCCUCCUGCUUCUCUCAUUCAGGAAUUAUUGUAAUUGUACUUUCCAGAUAUUUCCACACAAGCUUGAGAAAUAAACAGUGAAGUCUGCUGUCAUUCAGAAUAUCUGGGGUUUUUUUGUCAGAAAUUUCAACUGCAAAUCAGGUUGUUAUACAAACAGCAAAUAUUAGAAUACUUUUUUUUACGUGAAAAUUUCCCUUCUAGUUAGUAAACUGAAAAAAGUAAAAACCAAUCAUAGUUUAAUUUUAAGGCUACUCAGG